rnacentral:rRNA from 1 species
UACAGAGGGUCCAAGCGUUGAUCGGAAUCACUGGGCUUAAAGCGUGCGUAGGCCGACCCAUAAGUGCCUUGUGAAAUCCCCUGGCUCAACCAGGGAAUUGCUCGGUAGACUGUGGGUCUUGAGCUCAACAGAGGUGGUCGGAACGAUAGGUGGAGCGGUGAAAUGCGUAGAUAUCUAUCGGAACGCCGAAGGUGAAGACAGGCCACUGGGUUGAUGCUGACGCUGAGGCACGAAAGCGUGGGUAGCGAACGGG